rnacentral:rRNA from 1 species
GAUGAACGCUAGCUACAGGCUUAACACAUGCAAGUCGAGGGGCAGCGCAGUGUAGCAAUACAUGGGCGGCGACCGGCGCACGGGUGCGUAACGCGUAUCCAACCUUCCCGUUACUCAGGGAUAGCCUUCCGAAAGGGAGAUUAAUACCUGAUGGUGUUGAAAUUUCGCAUGUUAUUUCAACUAAAGAUUUAUCGGUAACGGAUGGGGAUGCGUAACAUUAGGUAGAUGGCGGGGUAACGGCCCACCAUGCCUACGAUGUCUAGGGGUUCUGAGAGGAAGGUCCCCCACACUGGAACUGAGACACGGUCCAGACUCCUACGGGAGGCAGCAGUGAGGAAUAUUGGUCAAUGGUCGGAAGACUGAACCAGCCAAGUAGCGUGAAGGAUGAAGGUUCUAUGGAUUGUAAACUUCUUUUGUACGGGAAUAAAACGUCCCACGUGUGGGAUCUUGUAUGUACCGUAUGAAUAAGCAUCGGCUAACUCCGUGCCAGCCGCCGCAGUAACAC